UACAGAGACCUCAAGCGUUAUCCGGAAUCAUUGGGCGUAAAGCGUACCGAUAGGUGGUUUACCAAGUCAGAAGUGAAAUCUCCGAGCUCAACUCGGAAUCUGUCUUUUGAAACUGGUAGACUAGAGGGGCAAAGAGGAAGCUGGAACGAACGGUGUAGUAGUGAAAUGCGUUGAUAUCGUUCGGAACACCAAUAGCGAAGGCGGGCUUCUGGGUGCCACCUGACACUGCUAGGACGAAAGCGUGGGGAGCGAAUGGG
rnacentral:rRNA from 1 species